GUGGGGUGAUGGCCUACCAAGGCGACGACGGGUAGCCGGCCUGAGAGGGCGACCGGCCACACUGGGACUGAGACACGGCCCAGACUCCUACGGGAGGCAGCAGUGGGGAAUAUUGCGCAAUGGGCGGAAGCCUGACGCAGCGACGCCGCGUGAGGGAUGAAGGCCUUCGGGUUGUAAACCUCUUUCAGCAGGGACGAAGCGAGAGUGGCGGUACCUGCAGAAGAAGCACCGGCCAACUACGUGCCAGCAGCCGCGGUAAUACGUAGGGUGCAAGCGUUGUCCGGAAUUAUUGGGCGUAAAGAGCUCGUAGGCGGUCUGUCGCGUCGGCUGUGAAAACUCGGGGCUCAACCCCGAGCCUGCAGUCGAUACGGGCAGACUAGAGUGCUGUAGGGGAGACUGGAAUUCCUGGUGUAGCGGUGAAAUGCGCAGAUAUCAGGAGGAACACCGGUGGCGAAGGCGGGUCUCUGGGCAGUAACUGACGCUGAGGAGCGAAAGCGUGGGGAGCGAACAGGAUUAGAUACCCUGGUAGUCCACGCCGUAAACGGUGGGUGCUAGGUGUGAGCGGUAUUCCACGCCGUUCGUGCCGCAGCUAACGCAUUAAGCA
rnacentral:rRNA from 1 species